rnacentral:rRNA from 1 species
GAUGAACGCUGGCGGCGUGCCUAAUACAUGCAAGUCGAGCGAACGGACGAGAAGCUUGCUUCUCUGAUGUUAGCGGCGGACGGGUGAGUAACACGUGGAUAACCUACCUAUAAGACUGGGAUAACUUCGGGAAACCGGAGCUAAUCCCGGAUAAUAUUUUGAACCGUAUGGUUCAAAAGUGAAAGACGGUCUUGCUGUUACUUAUAGAUGGAUCCGCGCUGCAUUAGCUAGUUGGUAAGGUAACGGCUUACCAAGGCAACGAUGCAUAGCCGACCUGAGAGGGUAAUGGCCCACACUGGAACGGAGAAACGGCCCGGACUCCUACGGGGGGAGGCAGUAGGGAAUCUUCCGCAAUGGGCGAAAGCCUGACGGGGCAACGCCGCGGGAGUGAGGAGGGUCUUCGGAUCGUAAAACUCUGUUAUUAGGGAAGAACAUAUGUGUAAGUAACUGUGCACAUCUUGACGGUACCUUAUCAGAAAGCCACGGCUAACUACGUG